GACGAACGCUGGCGGCGUGCCUAACACAUGCAAGUCGAGCGGAGAAAUUGAAGCUUGCUUUAAUUUCUUAGCGGCGGACGGGUGAGUAACACGUGGGCAACCUGCCCUUGAGAGGGGGAUAACACAGAGAAAUUUGUGCUAAUACCGCGUAACAUUUAGACUUCGCCUGGAGUUUAAAUCAAAGGAGUAAUCCGCUCAAGGAUGGGCCCGCGGCGCAUUAGCUAGUUGGUGAGGUAAUGGCUCACCAAGGCGACGAUGCGUAGCCGACCUGAGAGGGUGAUGGGCCACAUUGGAACUGAGACACGGUCCAGACUCCUACGGGAGGCAGCAGUGGGGAAUAUUGCGCAAUGGGGGAAACCCUGACGCAGCAACGCCGCGUGAGCGAUGAAGGUCUUCGGGUUGUAAAGCUCUGUCUUUGGGGACGAUAAUGACGGUACCCAAGGAGGAAGCCACGGCUAACUACGUGCCAGCCGCCGCGGUAACAC
rnacentral:rRNA from 1 species